UUGAACGCUGGCGGCAUGCCUUACACCUGCAAGUCGCACGGUAACGGGCCUUCGGGUGCCGCCGAGUGGCGAACGGGUGAGUAAUACAUCGGAACGUGCCCGAUCAUGGGGGAUAACGAGGCGAAAGCUUUGCUAAUACCGCAUACGAUCUACGGAUGAAAGCAGGGGACCGCAAGGCCUUGCGCGGACGGAGCGGCCGAUGGCAGAUUAGGUAGUUGGUGGGAUAAAAGCUUACCAAGCCGACGAUCUGUAGCUGGUCUGAGAGGAUGAUCAGCCACACUGGGACUGAGACACGGCCCAGACUCCUACGGGAGGCAGCAGUGGGGAAUUUUGGACAAUGGGCGCAAGCCUGAUCCAGCCAUGCCGCGUGCAGGAUGAAGGCCUUCGGGUUGUAAACUGCUUUUGUACGGAACGAAAAGCCUUCUUUUAAUACAGGAGGGUCAUGACGGUACCGUAAGAAUAAGCACCGGCUAACUACGUG
rnacentral:rRNA from 1 species